rnacentral:rRNA from 1 species
CAGUGAAAUUGAACUCGCUGUGAAGAUGCAGUGUACCCGCGGCAAGACGGAAAGACCCCGUGAACCUUUACUAUAGCUUGACACUGAACAUUGAGCCUUGAUGUGUAGGAUAGGUGGGAGGCUUUGAAGUGUGGACGCCAGUCUGCAUGGAGCCGACCUUGAAAUACCACCCUUUAAUGUUUGAUGUUCUAACGUUGGCCCGUAAUCCGGGUUGCGGACAGUGUCUGGUGGGUAGUUUGACUGGGGCGGUCUCCUCCUAAAGAGUAACGGAGGAGCACGAAGGUUGGCUAAUCCUGGUCGGACAUCAGGAGGUUAGUGCAAUGGCAUAAGCCAGCUUGACUGCGAGCGUGACGGCGCGAGCAGGUGCGAAAGCAGGUCAUAGUGAUCCGGUGGUUCUGAAUGGAAGGGCCAUCGCUCAACGGAUAAAAGGUACUCCGGGGAUAACAGGCUGAUACCGCCCAAGAGUUCAUAUCGACGGCGGUGUUUGGCACCUCGAUGUCGGCUCAUCACAUCCUGGGGCUGAAGUAGGUCCCAAGGGUAUGGCUGUUCGCCAUUUAAAGUGGUACGCGAGCUGGGUUUAGAACGUCGUGAGACAGUUCGGUCCCUAUCUGCCGUGGGCGCUGGAGAACUGAGGGGGGCUGCUCCUAGUACGAGAGGACCGGAGUGGACGCAUCACUGGUGUUCGGGUUGUCAUGCCAAUGGCACUGCCCGGUAGCUAAAUGCGGAAGAGAUAAGUGCUGAAAGCAUCUAAGCACGAAACUUGCCCCGAGAUGAGUU